GUUAGUACUGGAUCUUGGUUAAUCCUAACCAUUCGGUGAUUGCGGCCGCCACUAGUGAAUUUUAAAAAAUGUUCGGUAGUAAGUAUUUUAAAUUACUCUUCUACUAUUAUUGGAGAUCGAUAAUUUGAUUUUAAGCUUCGACUUAUAUAUGUUACGAGGAAUUUUAGGGAGGUGUUUAUCAAAUGAAAAUUAAAUUUAGGUAAUUAACGGACAUUUGCGUACUUUUGGCUUGCUUAGCUUUGUCGUCGAAGUUCAAUUUUUUAAGCAAGAGCAAGUUAGUUUAUGUGAACCAUCCUUAGGUUGCUUGGUUGGUAACGCAGUUCAUCUUCGAGAUAUUGGCAACAGUUGGCAACACAUGCAAUAAAAUACGUUAUAUGUCCGAGAAUUUGUGGGAAUGUUGAAAGUUAUAAAACUUGGAUUAUUUUAAUAAAAUUUCUACUUGGAUAAUAAAAGAAAAAAAUUGACGAAUUUUAUGAAGGAAUAAGUCAAUGAAGCAAAGUUAAUAAUGGGAAUAUUUACUAAAAUUUUAAUUGGACCAGCAUUUUAAAGCCAUAAUUUACAGAAAUUUUAGUCCAUCUCUUAUUAAAGCAACUUCUGUAUUGGCUUUGACAGCAGUAAAUGAACGCGCCAAACCCCGAGCCAGUGCAUUCGCUUUUGAUUUAGCAGUUAAAACAAUUUGUGCAAUAUACGAUUGUUGCUAAUUCUGUAAUUAAAAAAAUCAAAUGCAACAUAAUGCUUUUUGGUAGAUAUUUCAUAAGAUAAUCUAAUUUUCAACGGUACAUUUCCUAGUGAAACAGCUAUAAAUUAUUUGUCGAUCAUUUCCGGCAGUUUAUUAUCUUCCAGCAUUUCCGUUAAUCGGCUUGAGAAUCACUUUUGUGCACUGACGAAUGCAUGGAUUAUAUUUGUCAAUAUCUAAUAAUAUUCGUAAAAUAGAACGAAGAAAUUAGUGAAAGUCAGUAGUUGAAUUGAAAUCGUAAACGGAUUGGAAACAAACAAACCUAAACAACGGUUGAAGGAAAAAAAUGUUAUGAAGGUCACGAUCAGCAUUCCGUGGUGAAAAGAAGAACUCUAACAAAAGUAAUCGUCACAAAAAGAUUCAAUAAAAACCUAAAAAUAUUUUUUUUUUAAAUGGAUGGGUAUCUGGUUGAAGCAAAUCGAAUCCAAUUCAUAUUCCGGAGAGUUUUAAAAUUUUUUUUUUUAAAUAAUAUUUCCUUACAAAAUCAUCAAGUCUAAAAUUAGUGAAAUUGAAUGUUAAGCUGUUAAGUUGCUGGUUGAAAUUGAUUUUUAAAUAAAAAUGUAUGCAU